UACGUAGGGUGCGAGCGUUUGUCCGGAAUUAUUGGGCGUAAAGAGCUCGUAGGCGGUUUGUCGCGUCGGCCGUGAAAACUUGGGGCUUAACCCCAAGCCUGCGGUCGAUACGGGCAGACUUGAGUUCGGCAGGGGAGACUGGAAUUCCUGGUGUAGCGGUGAAAUGCUUAGAUAUCGUCAAGAACACCUAUAGCGAAGGCAGCUUACUAGGCUGUAACUGACGCUGAGGCACGAAAGUGUGGGGGAUCAAACAGG
rnacentral:rRNA from 1 species